UUUAAUUCAAAUAUCAAAUUCAUUCAUACAAAACAACAAUUUCCAUUCAUACCAAAUAUCAUAUUCAUUACAAAUCAUAAGAAUGUCCAUACAUACAAAUAAAUUACAAAAAAUGGCACUUUGACCAAAGGUUGACUUUGGUCAACUUUGACCAAAGUCAACUCACAUAUUCUCUAAGCCUAAUCAUAUUCUCUUCAUGUUAAUUCCUAAUUUGUCCCAUCUUCCAUUCCAACUUCAUGACCAAGGUUGCUUCAUGAACAAGCAAACUUGCCUAGCAUCCUACAAGAACCAACCAAGUCAUGCCAAACAUGAACCAAUGCAAGUCAUAAAGCAUUACACUUGCAAAAAGACCUUGUUGAACCUGCUUCAAGCACUACAGCACAUCAUGCCAUUCACAUAACCUGUUAUCAAACACCAACAAAACAGUAGUGGCAAACCAAAGACAUAACAAUAAUCCAAAGAACCUCACCAAUUGUGCAAAUUCUGCAACACAUUGCCUAUAGAAACAUGAUGUAACCAACCCCUGAACCAUGUCCAAACACACAUGCCUAGCAUCAUAAAUGCAGUAGCCAAACACAAACUCUGCAGCUAUAUUGAACAUGGAACAUCAAUAAUGUCAAAGCAAGUCAGUGGCAUUACUAGACACGCACACAAAGUCAGUUUAGUAGCAGCUGAAUAAAGCUAAUUAAUACACAACACAGAGCUGCAUAAAUUCAAGGCAGAUCAUCUAAGCUGCAAUGUCAAUGUACAUACGGAAGCUAGCUGCCAAUCAUUCAUAACUUUGCUGCAUGAUGAGCCAAGCAUCUCACCUUAUAGGACCUUCUAUGCAAUAAGUACCAAACCAAUGUCAUGUUACCAACAUACAACUUUAAUUAAUCCUGCAAUGAGCAGUCCAACCUGCUACAGGACAUUGCAACCAACCUUGCCAAGACUAAGUUAUGC
rnacentral:lncRNA from 1 species